rnacentral:lncRNA from 1 species
AGUCGCUGGGGCGGCCGGCCGGGGUGCAAGCAGUCGGGCCGGGCUCCCACGACCCCCGCGCGGGGCGGGCCCAGGCAGGAAGUGGGCGCACUUACUGGCCCCCUCGAUCUUGUCGGCGCCCCGGCUCCACGUGAUCUGGCGCGUCUCCAGCUUGACCUGGAAGGUCUUCCGCUCGGGUCGCUGCGACUUCUUGGAGUAGAACAAAGUCAUGACGGUGCCCACCUCGAGGCUGCGGCAGAGCACCGCCAAAAUUGAGGACACCCACGGUCGCGGUGGAGCCUGUCUGACAUGUUGAGCCAGGCAGUGGGUCGGCUGCCAGGCACAGCAGGACAACUUACUGCAUUUCAGAGGAAUGAUGGUCCACAAUUUACUGAUGAGGAAACAGAGAUUCAGAGAAGUUCUACAAUUUGCCCCAAAGCCACAUAACAUGACUAGGUGGGAACUAGAACCCAAGUCGGCCUGACUCCAUGAGUUUUCUGCCUCACAGGAGAUCCACUGGCUUAGAGUUUCUCUCUCGUCGCCCAGGCUGGCGUGCAAUGGCACAAUCUUGGCUCACUGCAAUCUCCGCCUCCCGAGUUCAAGCAGUCCUGCCUCAGCCUCCUGAGUCUCUUUUGAUUUGGUGCUGUCACAGGUUGGGUUCUUUGGAUGUGGACUCUGUGACAGGAAACCAGCCAAGUAACCUUGUUAUCAUGCCGGACUUCUUUCCACUUAUGUCCUGGAGGAGGAGAAGGAACCUUGGCAUCUCUGGAAAUAACAGAGCACGAGGAUAGUGAAAUAAGAUGCCCCAAAGUGUGAAAGUGGUGAUGUUGGCAAUUUGGAUAUGCCAUACAGAAGCUGCACAGAGUGCUUUAAAUGAAAAGGUGGAAAUUAUCGACUUAAUAAAAAAAACUGUAUGGUGAAGUUGCUAAGAUCUAAGGCAGCCUGUAGAAGAAAAAUGACAUCCCAGCUGGAUACCAGAAAGAUCCUUCAGUAAUGAGGAUGGCCAAGGCUGGAAGAUGGAGAUGGAUGAGCAUCACAAGAUUCCAGAGUAAAAUAGAUCAAAGAGCAGGGAGGUACAUGGCCAAUAUGAUUUCAUCUGUCUUAAAUCCUUAAUAUCCAGUAGCCACUGUGGGACAGGUCUGCCCAUCCUUAAUUACUAUAUUAUUGGCUGGAGUUACUGACUGGUUUUUAGGUCACUGAAGCACCAAGAUUCCUGUACAGAGCUACUGAGCAAAGUACUUGUUCACAAUUUUCAGUCUAACUAAAACCUUUAAGAAAAUUUAGACUUUGAGAACUCUAAGUCUUUAGCAUAGAAUGAUGUGAAAUUACUGAUGUUAAUGUUGUGUCAUAAGAACCAAGAAGAAAGUUAAAUGAACCAAUCACAAUUCCAGAAUUCUCCAGAGGUUUAAUAAAUUCUGUAGUACCAGUUUCUC